rnacentral:rRNA from 1 species
ACUAAGCGUACACGGUGGAUGCCCUGGCAGUCAGAGGCGAUGAAGGACGUGCUAAUCUGCGAUAAGCGUCGGUAAGGUGAUAUGAACCGUUAUAACCGGCGAUUUCCGAAUGGGGAAACCCAGUGUGAUUCGUCACACUAUCAUUAACUGAAUCCAUAGGUUAAUGAGGCGAACCGGGGGAACUGAAACAUCUAAGUACCCCGAGGAAAAGAAAUCAACCGAGAUUCCCCCAGUAGCGGCGAGCGAACGGGGAGCAGCCCAGAGCCUGAAUCAGUGUGUGUGUUAGUGGAAGCGUCUGGAAAGGCGCGCGAUACAGGGUGACAGCCCCGUACACAAAAAUGCACAUACUGUGAGCUCGAUGAGUAGGGCGGGACACGUGGUAUCCUGUCUGAAUAUGGGGGGACCAUCCUCCAAGGCUAAAUACUCCUGACUGACCGAUAGUGAACCAGUACCGUGAGGGAAAGGCGAAAAGAACCCCGGCGAGGGGAGUGAAAAAGAACCUGAAACCGUGUACGUACAAGCAGUGGGAGCACGCUUAGGCGUGUGACUGCGUACCUUUUGUAUAAUGGGUCAGCGACUUAUAUUCUGUAGCAAGGUUAACCGAAUAGGGGAGCCGAAGGGAAACCGAGUCUUAACUGGGCGUUAAGUUGCAGGGUAUAGACCCGAAACCCGGUGAUCUAGCCAUGGGCAGGUUGAAGGUUGGGUAACACUAACUGGAGGACCGAACCGACUAAUGUUGAAAAAUUAGCGGAUGACUUGUGGCUGGGGGUGAAAGGCCAAUCAAACCGGGAGAUAGCUGGUUCUCCCCGAAAGCUAUUUAGGUAGCGCCUCGUGAAUUCAUCUCCGGGGGUAGAGCACUGUUUCGGCAAGGGGGUCAUCCCGACUUACCAACCCGAUGCAAACUGCGAAUACCGGAGAAUGUUAUCACGGGAGACACACGGCGGGUGCUAACGUCCGUCGUGAAGAGGGAAACAACCCAGACCGCCAGCUAAGGUCCCAAAGUCAUGGUUAAGUGGGAAACGAUGUGGGAAGGCCCAGACAGCCAGGAUGUUGGCUUAGAAGCAGCCAUCAUUUAAAGAAAGCGUAAUAGCUCACUGGUCGAGUCGGCCUGCGCGGAAGAUGUAACGGGGCUAAACCAUGCACCGAAGCUGCGGCAGCGACGCUGAUGCGUUGUUGGGUAGGGGAGCGUUCUGUAAGCCUGUGAAGGUGUGCUGUGAGGCAUGCUGGAGGUAUCAGAAGUGCGAAUGCUGACAUAAGUAACGAUAAAGCGGGUGAAAAGCCCGCUCGCCGGAAGACCAAGGGUUCCUGUCCAACGUUAAUCGGGGCAGGGUGAGUCGACCCCUAAGGCGAGGCCGAAAGGCGUAGUCGAUGGGAAACAGGUUAAUAUUCCUGUACUUGGUGUUACUGCGAAGGGGGGACGGAGAAGGCUAUGUUGGCCGGGCGACGGUUGUCCCGGUUUAAGCGUGUAGGCUGGUUUUCCAGGCAAAUCCGGAAAAUCAAGGCUGAGGCGUGAUGACGAGGCACUACGGUGCUGAAGCAACAAAUGCCCUGCUUCCAGGAAAAGCCUCUAAGCAUCAGGUAACAUCAAAUCGUACCCCAAACCGACACAGGUGGUCAGGUAGAGAAUACCAAGGCGCUUGAGAGAACUCGGGUGAAGGAACUAGGCAAAAUGGUGCCGUAACUUCGGGAGAAGGCACGCUGAUAUGUAGGUGAAGCGACUUGCUCGUGGAGCUGAAAUCAGUCGAAGAUACCAGCUGGCUGCAACUGUUUAUUAAAAACACAGCACUGUGCAAACACGAAAGUGGACGUAUACGGUGUGACGCCUGCCCGGUGCCGGAAGGUUAAUUGAUGGGGUCAGCGCAAGCGAAGCUCUUGAUCGAAGCCCCGGUAAACGGCGGCCGUAACUAUAACGGUCCUAAGGUAGCGAAAUUCCUUGUCGGGUAAGUUCCGACCUGCACGAAUGGCGUAAUGAUGGCCAGGCUGUCUCCACCCGAGACUCAGUGAAAUUGAACUCGCUGUGAAGAUGCAGUGUACCCGCGGCAAGACGGAAAGACCCCGUGAACCUUUACUAUAGCUUGACACUGAACAUUGAGCCUUGAUGUGUAGGAUAGGUGGGAGGCUUUGAAGUGUGGACGCCAGUCUGCAUGGAGCCGGCCUUGAAAUACCACCCUUUAAUGUUUGAUGUUCUAACGUUGACCCGUGAUCCGGGUUGCGGACAGUGUCUGGUGGGUAGUUUGACUGGGGCGGUCUCCUCCUAAAGAGUAACGGAGGAGCACGAAGGUUGGCUAAUCCUGGUCGGACAUCAGGAGGUUAGUGCAAUGGCAUAAGCCAGCUUGACUGCGAGCGUGACGGCGCGAGCAGGUGCGAAAGCAGGUCAUAGUGAUCCGGUGGUUCUGAAUGGAAGGGCCAUCGCUCAACGGAUAAAAGGUACUCCGGGGAUAACAGGCUGAUACCGCCCAAGAGUUCAUAUCGACGGCGGUGUUUGGCACCUCGAUGUCGGCUCAUCACAUCCUGGGGCUGAAGUAGGUCCCAAGGGUAUGGCUGUUCGCCAUUUAAAGUGGUACGCGAGCUGGGUUUAGAACGUCGUGAGACAGUUCGGUCCCUAUCUGCCGUGGGCGCUGGAGAACUGAGGGGGGCUGCUCCUAGUACGAGAGGACCGGAGUGGACGCAUCACUGGUGUUCGGGUUGUCAUGCCAAUGGCACUGCCCGGUAGCUAAAUGCGGAAGAGAUAAGUGCUGAAAGCAUCUAAGCACGAAACUUGCCCCGAGAUGAGUUCUCCCUGACUCCUUGAGAGUCCUGAAGGAACGUUGAAGACGACGACGUUGAUAGGCCGGGUGUGUAAGCGCAGCGAUGCGUUGAGCUAACCGGUACUAAUGAACCGUGAGGCUUAACC